rnacentral:rRNA from 1 species
ACUCCUACGGGAGGCAGCAGUGGGGAAUUUUGCGCAAUGGGGGAAACCCUGACGCAGCAACGCCGCGUGAGUGAUGAAGGCCUUCGGGUCGUAAAGCUCUGUCAGAGGGAAAGAAGUGUAAGAGGGUUAAUACCCCUUUUACUUGACGGUACCCUCAAAGGAAGCACCGGCUAACUCCGUGCCAGCAGCCGCGGUAAUACGGGGGGUGCAAGCGUUGUUCGGAUUUAUUGGGCGUAAAGCGCGUGUAGGCGGUUUUAUAAGUCUGAUGUGAAAGCCCUGGGCUCAACCCGGGAAGUGCAUUGGAUACUGUAAGACUUGAAUACGGGAGAGGGCAGUGGAAUUCCUAGUGUAGGAGUGAAAUCCGUAGAUAUUAGGAGGAACACCGGUGGCGAAGGCGGCUGCCUGGACCGAUAUUGACGCUGAGACGCGAAAGCGUGGGGAGCAAACAGGAUUAGAUACCCUGGUAGUCCACGCCGUAAACGAUGAGAACUAGGUGUUGCGGGUA